AGCCAAAGGGAAAACCAACUGUGAGAGGUUUGUUGGUGAGCCUAGGUCGAAACCAACACUGUAAGGGUUUAAUUGUGAUCCCGGGAAAACAAUCAGGGGUGGUUCUAGUCGGUGAGCCUGGGAAAACCGACCGAGUUCGUUGUGACCUCGUAAAACAACAAGUUGGGUUGUGAGCUUGUAAAACAACCGGCUGUAAUCUGUAGGAUUAUAGUGAAAUUCCCAAGAAGUCUUGGGGAGUGGAUGUAGGUGCUGGGGUGCACCGAACCACUAUAUGUUUGUUGUGUUUGUAAUGCCUCUUCUCAUUGUCUAACUAACACACUUACUUACCUAGAUAAAUAGCUUGCAUUACUAUUAUCCGCACAUUCUCUAGCUGCAAGCAUACUUCAAACCGUUGCUAAGUUUGACUUUCACUGUGCAUCUAUAUAACUUAGCAUAAUUAAUCAAAAACUUUCGGAAGUAGGUUAAAAGUUUUAAAAGACCCAAUUCACCCCCCCUCUUGGGUUGUAUCUACUGGGCAACA
rnacentral:lncRNA from 1 species